GACGAACGCUGGCGGCGUGCCUAAUACAUGCAAGUCGAGCGCAGGAAGCCGUCUGAACCCUUCGGGGGAACGACGGUGGAAUGAGCGGCGGACGGGUGAGUAACACGUAAAGAACCUGCCCAUAGGUCUGGGAUAACCACGAGAAAUCGGGGCUAAUACCGGAUGUGUCAUCGGACCGCAUGGUCCGCUGAUGAAGGGCGCUUCGGCGUCGCCCAUGGAUGGCUUUGCGGUGCAUUAGCUAGUUGGUGGGGUAACGGCCCACCAAGGCGACGAUGCAUAGCCGACGUGGGAGGGUGAUCGGACACACGGGGAGAGAGACACGGCCCAGACUCCUACGGGAGGCAGGAGUAGGGAAUCUUCCAAAAUGGGCGAAAGUCUGAUGGAGCAACGCCGCGUGAACGAUGAAGGCUUUCGGGUCGUAAAGUUCUGUUGUAAGGGAAGAACAAGUGCCGCAGGCAAUGGCGGCACCUUGACGGUACCUUGCGAGAAAGCCACGGCUAACUACGUGCCAGCCGCCGCGGUAA
rnacentral:rRNA from 1 species